rnacentral:rRNA from 1 species
CAGGCCUAACACAUGCAAGUCGAACGGCAGCAUGAUAAAGAUUUCGGUCUUUAUUGAUGGCGAGUGGCGGACGGGUGAGUAAUAGGUAGGAAUCUGUCCUGGAGAGUGGGAUAACCUGCGGAGACGCGGGCUAAUACCGCAUAAUAUUGAGAAAUCAAAGGCAGGGGAUCUGUAAAAAGACCUUGCGCUCUAGGGUGAGCCUACGUCGGAUUAGCUAGUUGGUGGGGUAAAAGCCUACCAAGGCGACGAUCCGUAGCUGGUCCGAGAGGAUGACCAGCCACACUGGGACUGAGACACGGCCCAGACUCCUACGGGAGGCAGCAGUGGGGAAUCUUGGACAAUGGGGGCAACCCUGAUCCAGCGAUACCGCGUGUGUGAAGAAGGCCUUCGGGUUGUAAAGCACUUUAGUUGGGGAAGAAAGGUAUAAGGGGAAUAUCCUUAUGCUGUGACGUUACCCAAAGAAUAAGCACCGGCUAACUCUGUGCCAGCAGCCGCGGUAAU